UAACGCGUGGAUAACCUGCCAUAUACCGGGGGAUAACACUUAGAAAUAGGUGCUAAUACCGCAUAAGCGCACGGCUCCGCAUGGGGCAGUGUGAAAAACUCCGGUGGUAUACGAUGGAUCCGCGUCUGAUUAGCUAGUUGGCGGGGUAACGGCCCACCAAGGCAGCGAUCAGUAGCCGGCCUGAGAGGGUGGACGGCCACAUUGGGACUGAGACACGGCCCAAACUCCUACGGGAGGCAGCAGUGGGGAAUAUUGCACAAUGGGGGAAACCCUGAUGCAGCGACGCCGCGUGAGUGAAGAAGUAUCUCGGUACGUAAAGCUCUAUCAGCAGGGAAGAAAAUGACGGUACCUGACUAAGAAGCCCCGGCUAACUACGUGCCAGCAGCCGCGGUAAUACGUAGGGGGCAAGCGUUAUCCGGAUUUACUGGGUGUAAAGGGAGCGUAGACGGCAGCACAAGUCUGGAGUGAAAUCCCGGGGCUUAACCCCGGAACUGCUUUGGAAACUGUGCGGCUGGAGUGCAGGAGGGGUAAGCGGAAUUCCUAGUGUAGCGGUGAAAUGCGUAGAUAUUAGGAGGAACACCGGUGGCGAAGGCGGCUUACUGGACUGUAACUGACGUUGAGGCUCGAAAGCGUGGGGAGCAAACAGGGUUAGAUACCCUGGUAGUCCACGCCGUAAACGAUGAUUACUAGGUGU
rnacentral:rRNA from 1 species